rnacentral:RNase_P_RNA from 1 species
UGUAAGCCCGGGUUCUGUCGUGGACAAUCAUUCCUCUAGGCACACAAUUACUUGUAUGCUCAAGCAACCUACCCGAACUCUCGGCGGGCCACCGAUUGAGUUCCUAUUUGGUCUUGCUACGAGUGGAGUUUACUCUUGCUGCCGAAUGUUACCACCGGCACGGUGUGCUCUUACCACACCCUUUCACCCUUACCUUUUCCGAAGAAAACGGCGGUCUGCUCUCUGUUGCACUGGUCGUAGGCUCACGCCCCCCGGACGUUAUCCGGCACUCUGCCCUGUGUAGCCCGGACUUUCCUCCCCACAGAACCCGGCUUACAC